GCCGAGGUGGUGGAACCGGUAGACACGCAAGACUUAAAAUCUUGUGAUCGCAAGAUCGUGAGGGUUCGAGUCCCUCCCUCGGCA
rnacentral:tRNA from 2 species